rnacentral:lncRNA from 1 species
AUGUUCAAAUAUGGAACCAAAGCGUUUGAAAAAAUGUUGUUCUCAUCUGUUCAUGCACCAGAUUGGAAUGCAAAGUUUGUUUGCUCAAGGCCAGGAGAGAGAGACUACAACUGGCCAACGGUGCCAAGUUUGGGCCGCAGACAUGAAGGUAAGAACAUAACUGUUACCAACUUAAAUGUUUUUAUAGACGGUCACAAUAAAUGUAUAUAUAAAAAAAUAUAGGGGGUGGGGGAGGGAAAUAUGUUAACAUAGUAUGUCAUUUCUAAUACUUCCCUUGCAUUUUGUAUCUUAGGUGUCUGUCUGUAAUACCAAGGGCCUGAAGUCGAAAGUGUGGCAGAUGCUACCUUGCCACGGAUGAGGGUCCAGAUUCAGGUCACCCGUUACCUGAAAGGGGCCUCCGAUUGUGAAUGUAGGAUCUGGCGGCACACAGGAGAGAGGAAUCUGCUGUAGUGAGAGUCAAGUUUCGGACCACCUGUUUCAAAGCCAGCCUCUACCACAAUACUGUUCCAACAGUUGAACCCUGGGCUGACUUUUGCAACAUACCCCACCCACUCUUACCAUUUACUUUUUAAUAAUAUUCUGUACACGCUGAAAUUACUUUUUAGUGUACAGUAUCAUAGUAUAGUACCCUCAAACACAAAUGUCCCACUACACCUGAUUUCCCACUAAUGCUGAUUUAUAGGCCUAGCCCACUUCUAGGAUAAAGAACAAAACCGUUACUGUCAUUCACCAGUGUGAAAAACAUUUCUGGGGUUAAUUGAAAUUGACAACAAAAAAAUGUAUACAAAUAUACUUAAUCAAAAUGAAUUCAAGUAGUUUCAGUGAUUUGUUCAUUUAAUUUUACCCCAACAUUUUAGAAUUAAAUCCAAUUUAAUAUGUUGCUCAAAAUCUAUGUAUCUUUAUUAGGAUAACCAAAGCGAGACUAAAUGUAGUGAUUCCAUUUACUCAAUUGUAAUCAUAUUUCUAAAAAACGUAAUUUAAGUUCUUGCAACAACAUGCCAAGUGGCUCCAUUUUUCCAGGAUUGUGGGUAAUUCAAAAAUGUUUUACUUUAUGAUUAUUUACAUUUUAGUCAUUUAGCAGACACUGUUAUCCAGAGCAGCUUACAGUUAGUGCAUUUAUCUCAGGCACAGUAAGUACAUUUUCCUCAAUUAAGUAGUUAUCAGCAGUCAAGUGCGAGUGUUAAUUCGAUGAAAGGCUAGGGGUGGGGGUGGAGGGGUGCUGUGGGAUUAUUUAAAAUACUCUUUGAAGAGGUAGGGUCUCAGACGUUUUUCAGAAGAUGGGCAGGAACUCUGCUGUCCUAGCGUCAGGGUGAAGCUUGUUCCACCAUCCGUAGAGGUGGGAGGACCAAGAGACCAGAGGUGUCAGAACGGAGUGCUCGGGUUAGGGAGUAGGGUUUGAGCAUAGCCUGGAGGUUGGGAGGGACAGUUCCCCUUGCUGCUCUGUAGGCAAGCACCAUGGUCUUGUAGUGGUGCGAGCUUCGACUGGAAGCCAGUGGAGU